UCCUAAACGGGAUUGCAGUGUUAUCCUUUUAAAAUGAGCACCUGCUUCCUUUUUAUUGUCAUGCUGAGGCACGAAGCAUCUGCAACCGAUUAAACAGAUGCUUCGUGCCUCAGCAUGACAAAACAUUUUAAAAGAUUUAGCGUAAAGCCCGGCUGACU
rnacentral:sRNA from 1 species